AACGAACGUUGGCGGCGUGCUUAAUACAUGCAAGUCGUACGAGAAUAUUUGACUUCGGUCGAAUAGGAAAGUGGCGAACGGGUGAGUAACACGUGGAUAACUUGCCCCUGAAUCUGGGAUAAUCAACCGAAAGGUCGUCUAAUACCGGAUAAUAUUAUUUGUGGGCAUCUUCAGAUAAUCAAAGGCGGAGCAAUCUGCCGAUCAGGGAUAGGUCCGCGGUUCAUUAGCUUGUUGGUGGGGUAAUGGCCUACCAAGGCGACGAUGAAUAGCCGGCUUGAGAGAGUGAUCGGCCACACUGGGACUGAGAUACGGCCCAGACUCCUACGGGAGGCAGCAGUAGGGAAUAUUGCGCAAUGGACGAAAGUCUGACGCAGCAACGCCGCGUGGGUGAUGAAGCAUCUUGGUGUGUAAAACCCUGUCAGCGGGGAAGAACCGUGCAGAUAGUAACUGAUCUGUACCUGA
rnacentral:rRNA from 1 species